rnacentral:rRNA from 1 species
CCUACGGGAGGCAGCAGUGGGGGAUAUUGCACAAUGGGGGGAACCCUGAUGCAGCGACGCCGCGUGGGUGAAGAAGCGCCUCGGCGCGUAAAGCCCUGUCAGCAGGGAAGAAAAUGACGGUACCUGAAGAAGAAGCUCCGGCUAAUUUCGUGCCAGCAGCCGCGGUAAUACGGAGGGGGCAAGCGUUAUCCGGAUUUACUGGGUGUAAGGGGGGCGCAGACGGCGAUGCAAGCCAGGAGUGAAAGUCCGGGGCCCAACCCCGGGACUGGUCUUGGAACUGCGUGGCUGGAGUGCAGGAGGGGCAGGCGGAAUUCCUGGUGUAGCGGUGAAAUGCGUAGAUAUCAGGAGGAACACCGGUGGCGAAGGCGGCCUGCUGGACUGCAACUGACGUUGAGGCCCGAAAGCGUGGGGAGCAAACAGGAUUAGAUACCCGAGUAGUC